GACGGAGGGAGCAAGCGUUGUCCGGAUUUACUGGGCGUAAAGCGCGCGUAGGCGGCCUUUUAAGUCGGCGGUGAAAGCGCUGGGCUCAACUCAGCAAUUGCCGUCGAUACUGAUCGGCUCGAGUCCGGGAGAGGAAAGCGGAAUUCCUGGUGUAGCGGUGGAAUGCGUAGAUAUCAGGAAGAACACCGGUGGCGAAGGCGGCUUUCUGGACCGGCACUGACGCUGAGGCGCGAAAGCUAGGGGAGCGAACGGG
rnacentral:rRNA from 1 species